rnacentral:rRNA from 1 species
GACGAACGCUGGCGGCGUGCUUAACACAUGCAAGUCGAACGGAAAGGCCCUGCUUUUGUGGGGUGCUCGAGUGGCGAACGGGUGAGUAACACGUGAGUAACCCCUCCUUGUCUUUGGGAGAACUUCAGGAAACUGGGGCGAAUACCCGAUAGGAGCUUCUGCUGCGUGGUGGGGGUUGGAAAGAUUCGGCGGUAGGGGCUGGACUAGCGGCUUAUCAGCUUGUUGGUGGGGUAGUUGCGUCCCACGGGUUCGACGGGUAGGCGGCCUGAGAGGGUGGCCGGCCACAUUGGGACUGCGGUACGGCGCAGACUGCUACGGGCGGCAGCAGUGGGGAGUAUUGCAGAAUGGGCGGACGCCUGAUGCAGCGACCCCGCGUGCGGAAUGCCGGCCUUCGAGUUGUAAACCGCUUUCGCAUGUGACGAAGCGUGCGUGACGGUAAUGGGUAAGGAAGCACCGGCUAACUACGUG